UACAGGGUGACAGCCCCGUACACAAAAGCGCAUGUGCUGUGAGCUCGAUGAGUAGGGCGGGACACGUGGUAUCCUGUCUGAAUAUGGGGGGACCAUCCUCCAAGGCUAAAUACUCCUGACUGACCGAUAGUGAACCAGUACCGUGAGGGAAAGGCGAAAAGAACCCCGGCGAGGGGAGUGAAACAGAACCUGAAACCGUGUACGUACAAGCAGUGGGAGCAUGAGUUUACUCAUGUGACUGCGUACCUUUUGUAUAAUGGGUCAGCGACUUAUAUUCUGUAGCAAGGUUAACCGUAUAGGGGAGCCGUAGGGAAACCGAGUCUUAACCGGGCGUUAAGUUGCAGGGUAUAGACCCGAAACCCGGUGAUCUAGCCAUGGGCAGGUUGAAGGUUGGGUAACACUAACUGGAGGACCGAACCGACUAAUGUUGAAAAAUUAGCGGAUGACCUGUGGCUGGGGGUGAAAGGCCAAUCAAACCGGGAGAUAGCUGGUUCUCCCCGAAAGCUAUUUAGGUAGCGCCUCGUGAACUCAUCUCCGGGGGUAGAGCACUGUUUCGGCCAGGGGGCCAUCCCGGCUUACCAACCCGAUGCAAACUGCGAAUACCGGAGAAUGUUAUCACGGGAGACACACGGCGGGUGCUAACGUCCGUCGUGAAGAGGGAAACAACCCAGACCGCCAGCUAAGGUCCCAAAGUCAUGGUUAAGUGGGAAACGAUGUGGGAAGGCCCAGACAGCCAGGAUGUUGGCUUAGAAGCAGCCAUCAUUUAAAGAAAGCGUAAUAGCUCACUGGUCGAGUCGGCCUGCGCGGAAGAUGUAACGGGGCUAAACCAUGCACCGAAGCUGCGGCAGCGACACUGUGUGUUGUUGGGUAGGGGAGCGUUCUGUAAGCCUGCGAAGGUGGCCUGUGAGGGUUGCUGGAGGUAUCAGAAGUGCGAAUGCUGACAUAAGUAACGAUAAUGCGGGUGAAAAACCCGCACGCCGGAAGACCAAGGGUUCCUGUCCAACGUUAAUCGGGGCAGGGUGAGUCGACCCCUAAGGCGAGGCCGAAAGGCGUAGUCGAUGGGAAACAGGUUAAUAUUCCUGUACCUGGUGUUACUGCGAAGGGGGGACGGAGAAGGCUAUGUUGGCCGGGCGACGGUUGUCCCGGUUUAAGCGUGUAGGCUGGUUUUCCAGGCAAAUCCGGAAAAUCAAGGCUGAGGCGUGACGACGAGGCACUACGGUGCUGAAGCAACAAAUGCCCUGCUUCCAGGAAAAGCCUCUAAGCCUCAGGUAACAUCAGAUCGUACCCGAAACCGACACAGGUGGUCAGGUAGAGAAUACCAAGGCGCUUGAGAGAACCCGGGUGAAGGAACUAGGCAAAAUGGUGCCGUAACUUCGGGAGAAGGCACGCUGACACGUAGGUGAAGCGGUUUACCCGUGAAGC
rnacentral:rRNA from 1 species